GCGAGUAUGGCCCUCACGGGUCUAAUCCACCAUAAACACCUUUGUGAACCAGUCAGGGGGACUCGGCCGGGAAAGCCCAGGCGAUUAGCGGAAGGGCCCUCCUUUGCAAACCCGUUUAGAAGUCUUGAAAGUACUUUUGUAUAAUCUAGUA
rnacentral:misc_RNA from 1 species